GGCGCCUGAUGCCGACGCUCAUCGCAGUUUUAUCGGGUAAAGCAAAUGAUUAGAGGUCUUGGGGCCGAAACGAUCUCAACCUAUUCUCAAACUUUAAAUGGGUAAGAAGCCUGGCUCGCUGGCGUGGAGCCGGGCGUGGAAUGCGAGUGGGCCACUUUUGGUAAGCAGACCUGGAAGCCGAAAGCCGG
rnacentral:ncRNA from 1 species